rnacentral:rRNA from 1 species
GACGAACGCUGGCGGCGUGCUUAACACAUGCAAGUCGAACGGAAAGGCCCUGCUUGCAGGGUGCUCGAGUGGCGAACGGGUGAGUAACACGUGGGUGAUCUGCCCCUUACUUUGGGAUAAGCCUGGGAAACUGGGUCUAAUACUGGAUAGGACCAUGCUGUAGGUGGUGUGGUGGAAAGAUUAGUUUCGGUAAGGGAUGAGCUCGCGGCCUAUCAGCUUGUUGGUGGGGUAAUGGCCUACCAAGGCGUCGACGGGUAGCCGGCCUGAGAGGGUGGACGGCCACAUUGGGACUGAGAUACGGCCCAGACUCCUACGGGAGGCAGCAGUGGGGAAUAUUGCACAAUGGGCGCAAGCCUGAUGCAGCGACGCCGCGUGGGGGAUGACGGCCUUCGGGUUGUAAACUCCUUUCAGCCAUGACGAAGCCCUUGUGGUGACGGUAGUGGUAGAAGAAGCACCGGCUAGCUACGUG